UUAAAUUGAAGAGUUUGAUCAUGGCUCAGAUUGAACGCUGGCGGCAGGCCUAACACAUGCAAGUCGAACGGUAACAGGAAGAAGCUUGCUUCUUUGCUGACGAGUGGCGGACGGGUGAGUAAUGUCUGGGA
rnacentral:rRNA from 1 species